GGAAGGGCGGGCGGCGGGACGAGGCGUUGGGCCGCCCGGCAGGAGAGCGCAGGAGCGGAGGCGGGCGCGGACGCGAGGCGGCGUGAUGCCACCGCCUCUCCCAGACGAAAACCCCGCGCUCCCGCCAGGGAGCCGCAGCUGGCAGGCCUGGGAAUGCGGACUGCUCCCCAUAGAGCGGUGUGCUGAGCUGUGUGGGCAUGGCUGUCAUUUAAGCUGGUUCCAGUCAUCUGGUAGAUUGUAAUCAGCCACGAAGAGGACAUUUCCACUGAAAAGACUUGUAAAGCCUGUAAACAGGACUUGGAUGUCUCACCUCUCUCUACUGGGUCUGGUUGCCAAGAGUCGCUUUAUAAACUGACGUUUAGAAAGGACUAAAGGGCUCCUCCCGGUGCAGGAGCAUAAGGGAAAAGUUUUUUUUUUUGUUGUUGUUGUUUUAAGAACACAUGCUCCUGUAAACUUCUCUGAAACUCCUCACAUAUACACAAAUCAUCAAAUACAGAUAUUAAUUAAUGUGCAAAAAGACUGGAAGACUCUAAGACCGGUAGGCACCAACUUGUCCACAAGCCUCACCAACUCAGGGACCCUGAACUGGAAGAGAAUUAAAGAAUUCCUUGCUCAGCCAAAGACCUGCAGAUGACAUCAGGACAUUCGUUGACACUGUGAGAGAGAAAUAGUGGCCAGUAAGCCAUGGGACUUACAGUUUGUUUUUAUAAAGAAAGAAAAUUUAGUGGACCCAAAAGGAGCACCUUGUACUUCUGAUUUACCUAUUAUGAAACACAGUAGUUGAGUUUAAUAUUUGGUAACUUUUUACUGAAAUAACUGCAGUGAAAUAAUAUAUGCAAUGUUAUUCAUUGCAACAUCAUUGUGAAAGCUAAGUUUAUUAGUAAGAGCCUGGAUAAAGAAGUAAUGACAUUUUGCUUAGUGAGAUAUUGCGCAUGUGUAAAGAAGAAUGAAGCUCAAUAUGACUGGACGUGUGAAAACCUCUGAAUAUGAUCAAUAAAAAUUAACUGUAAGAUGAUACAGUAUAUUAUCAUCUAAAAACUAUCAUUAAACUAGUUUUCUCUUCAUUGUGGUUAAAAUUAAAUGAAGAAAUGUGUCAGGGAAGGUGAAGUAGAAGGGCCUUUUCCUAGC